rnacentral:rRNA from 1 species
CAAUAGCGUAUAUUAAAGUUGUUGCAGUUAAAAAGCUCGUAGUUGGAUUUCUGGUCGGAAGCUCCUGUCCUCUGAUGAGCGUACAAGUGCGUCCUACCAUCCUUCUGUUAACCUUUAAGGCUUUCGCGGCUUUCUAGGGGCUCAGAUAUUUUACCUUGAGAAAAUUAGAGUGUUUCAGGCAGGCUAGCGCCGGAAUACAUUAGCAUGGAAUAAUGGAAUAGGACUUUUGCCUCUUCUGUUGGUCAUGAGGCUCGAGUAAUGAUUAAUAGGGAUAGUUGGGGGCAUUAGUACUUAACUGUCAGAGGUGAAAUUCUCGGAUUUGUUAAAGACUAACUUAUGCGAAAGCAUUUGCCAAGGAUGUCUUCAUUA